UUUUUAUGGGCAAGUUAUAACCUUUCUAAUAGACCUUGAACCACUGUGACUUUUCCUUCAGGUAUAACUACAAUGAUCCUUUGCUUGAGUUUGAUCUCCACCUGGACUUGAAUCUGUAAUGAGUCAUCAGCCAGAGUCUAUGUUUCCAUCUCAGGUGCGGUGGCUAACGCCUGUAAUCCCAGCACUUUCGGAGGCCGAGCUGGGUGGAUCACGACGUCAGGAGUUCAAGACCAGCCUGGCCAAGAUGGUGAAACCCCAUCUCUACUGAAAAUACAAAAAUUAGCCAGGCGCACUGGCACACGCCUGUAAUCCCAGCUACUCGGGAGGCUGAGGCAGGGAAUUGCUUGAACCAGGGAGGUGGAGGUUACAGUGAGCCCAGAUCAUGCCACUGCACUCCAGCCUGGGCAACGGAGCGAGACUCUGUCUCACAAAAAAUAAAUAAAUAAAAGAAAAGAAAAAUAAAUAAAUAAAAAAUAAAAUCUGUAAGUUGGCAUUUUCCUUUCUUCUUUGUAUCAGUGCCUGUGCUUUGAUGAACAGGAGAGAAUAAACAUUCGGUUUACAUAAAAUUUGUUAAUGUAUUUGGCAUCAGGGCUUAUGAAGCUUCAGAAAACAAAGAGGUAAUAAUAUUAUACUUAAAAUGUUAGAUUUUAUGUCAGAUACUGUGGGCAUGUUUUUGAACGAGCGUGACUUGAUACGUAGUCAAGGGACACUUUCAUAUAAAAGAGGAUGGUAAUAAGUCACAGGCAAAUUAGUGGUGCACACAGAUUUCUACGAUUAAGCUUAAUCCAAAUGUUCCUACAAGAAAUGAACUGCAAACAAGCAGGAUUCAGGCUUCCAAAGAUGUAACCAUCCAAAAUGCCUACUACAAAAUAGUGUGUCUCAGUCUUCAUAGUUU
rnacentral:lncRNA from 10 species